GGCUUAUUUUCGGUGGAGGUCUUAUUUCGGGGAAAAACGUGUGCUAGAAAGCAGGUUUAUGUUCGGGGGAAUUCCCCCGAACAUAGACCGAUUCACUAGGGCAUGGAAUCCUGCAAAGCUAUGUUCGGGGAAACUUUCCUGAACAUAGAUUAGCUUACUCACUAAUUGGAAUACCGCAAAUCCAUGUUCCAGGAAACUUCCCCGAACAUAGAUAAGUUCACUCGCGAAUGGAACCUUGCGUAUCUAUGUUCGGGGAAACUUUCCUGAACAUAGAUAAGCUUAUUGGUGAAUGGAAUCUUGCGUAUCUGUGUUCGGGGAAAAUUCGGGGUAGAUUAGCGAACGGCUAGGGUUUAUUGUCAGGGUAGGGC